CUGACGGUCUUUGUGUCGGGAAGAAAAGGCUUCUUCCGUGAAGGAGAGGGAGCCCUGGCACUUGAAGGCCCCUGCAGGCCAGAAUGGCAGCAACUGGAGAACGUGGGAAGCCUCACCCUGGAGUCAGCAGAGCUUCUGCCUCACUAGCUCUGUGAACACCUGAAACUCUUAGUUAUAGCAUCUUAGCCCACUGAGGUCAUAAAGGUGAAUGAAGUUCAGAGAGGUCAAGAGACUCAAUCAAAGUGACACAGCUAAUCAGUGAAUUACUGGUUGUGUGGAGAGCUAGAGUUUAUAAUGUUCUUCCCUAAAGCCCUACAAAGUAGGAAAUAUCAUUAUUAUCUCAAUUUUACCUCUGAGAAAUGAAUGCUACACUGCCAAGUUGUGUACGUCCUCUGUGCGCUGGCUCCUUCUGCUCUGCCCUUUGACCCUGUUAUCACGCCAUUAGAGAGAAAAUGCAGCCUAAUCAAAUCCAACAAAUAUUUAAUAAGCACCUCCUAUAUCAAAGCUGUGUGCUAAGGGCACACCAAAAUGAGUGAGAUAGUGACGUGACCUCUGGUCUAAGGAGCUUACAAUCUGGUCAGGUGGCAAGACAGGGUGAC